UACGUAGGGGGCAAGCGUUGUCCGGAAUUAUUGGGCGUAAAGAGCGCGUAGGCGGUCCGAUAAGUCGGCUGUGAAAGUCAGGGGCUCAACCCUUGAAAGCCGGCCGAUACUGUCGGACUAGAGUCCGGAAGAGGCAAGUGGAAUUCCCGGUGUAGCGGUGAGAUGCGCAGAUAUCGGGAGGAACACCUAUGGCGAAGGCAGCUCGCUGGGACGUUACUGACGCUGAGACGCGAAAGCGUGGGGAGCAAACAGG
rnacentral:rRNA from 1 species